rnacentral:rRNA from 1 species
UACCAGACUCCUACGGGAGGCAGCAGUGGGGAAUAUUGGGCAAUGGAGGAAACUCUUACCCAGCAAUGCCGCGUGAAUGAAGAAGGUCUUCGGAUUGUAAAGUUCUUUAAUUGGGGACGAAAAAAAUGACGGUACCCAAGGAAUAAGCCCCGGCUAACUACGUGCCAGCAGCCGCGGUAAUACGUAGGGGGCAAGCGUUGUUCGGAAUGACUGGGCGUAAAGGGUGCGUAGGCGGUGUAGCAAGUUAGAAGUGAAAGCCCGGGGCUCAACUCCGGGACUGCUUUUGAAACUGUUGAACUAGAUUGCAGGAGAGGUAAGUGGAAUUCCUAGUGUAGCGGUGAAAUGCGUAGAUAUUAGGAGGAACACCAGUGGCGAAGGCGGCUUACUGGACUGUAAAUGACGCUGAGGCUCGAAAGCGUGGGGAGCAAACAGGAUUAGAUACCCUCGUAU